UCUGGACGGCACGCAGGGGAGUUCGCCGACGAUGAGAGGAAGAGAGGAAGUAGGUGGACGCAGUGAACGGGACGGAGUAUGUGCCCACAUACAAGGACACGGACGGUGACUGGAUGCUCGUCGGCGACGUCCCCUGGAAGUUUCAACGAAAUGAACUAGCAUGGAUGUUUAACGAAUUGGAAAGCUGGUGGAUGGUAGUUUGCAGAACCCUGGCAGUUUACCUAUUUGUCUAUUCAGUUUCAUAAUAUGCAUGUGUACUACUGCA